UACGUAGGGUGCAAGCGUUGUCCGGAAUUAUUGGGCGUAAAGAGCUCGUAGGCGGUUCGUCGCGUCGGCUGUGAAAACCCGGAGCUCAACUCCGGGCCUGCAGUCGAUACGGGCGGACUGGAGUUCGGCAGGGGAGACUGGAAUUCCUGGUGUAGCGGUGAAAUGCGCAGAUAUCAGGAGGAACACCGGUGGCGAAGGCGGGUCUCUGGGCCGAUACUGACGCUGAGGAGCGAAAGCGUGGGGAGCGAAC
rnacentral:rRNA from 1 species